ACCCUUUAAUGUUUGAUGUUCUAACGUGGACCCGUAAUCCGGGUUGCGGACAGUGUCUGGUGGGUAGUUUGACUGGGGCGGUCUCCUCCUAAAGAGUAACGGAGGAGCACGAAGGUUGGCUAAUCCUGGUCGGACAUCAGGAGGUUAGUGCAAUGGCAUAAGCCAGCUUGACUGCGAGCGUGACGGCGCGAGCAGGUGCGAAAGCAGGUCAUAGUGAUCCGGUGGUUCUGAAUGGAAGGGCCAUCGCUCAACGGAUAAAAGGUACUCCGGGGAUAACAGGCUGAUACCGCCCAAGAGUUCAUAUCGACGGCGGUGUUUGGCACCUCGAUGUCGGCUCAUCACAUCCUGGGGCUGAAGUAGGUCCCAAGGGUAUGGCUGUUCGCCAUUUAAAGUGGUACGCGAGCUGGGUUUAGAACGUCGUGAGACAGUUCGGUCCCUAUCUGCCGUGGGCGCUGGAGAACUGAGGGGGGCUGCUCCUAGUACGAGAGGACCGGAGUGGACGCAUCACUGGUGUUCGGGUUGUCAUGCCAAUGGCACUGCCCGGUAGCUAAAUGCGGAAGAGAUAAGUGCUGAAAGCAUCUAAGCACGAAACUUGCCCCGAGAUGAGUUCUCCCUGAGACUUAGAGUCUCCUGAAGGAACGUUGAAGACGACGACGUUGAUAGGCCGGGUGUGUAAGCGCAGCGAUGCGUUGAGCUAACCGGUACUAAUGAACCGUGAGGCUUAACCUUAC
rnacentral:rRNA from 3 species